rnacentral:rRNA from 1 species
AUUGAACGCUGGCGGAAUGCUUUACACAUGCAAGUCGAACGGCAGCACGGACUUCGGUCUGGUGGCGAGUGGCGAACGGGUGAGUAAUGUAUCGGAACGUGCCCAGUCGUGGGGGAUAACGUAGUGAAAAUUACGCUAAUACCGCAUACGAUCUAUGGAUGAAAGCGGGGGAUCGCAAGACCUCACGCGAUUGGAGCGGCCGAUAUCAGAUUAGGUAGUUGGUGGGGUAAAGGCCCACCAAGCCAACGAUCUGUAGCUGGUCUGAGAGGACGACCAGCCACACUGGAACUGAGAAACGGGCCAGACUCCUACGGGAGUCAGCAGUGGGGAAUUUUGGACAAUGGGCGAAAGCCUGAUCCAGCCAUUCCGCGUGCAGGAUGAAGGCCCUCGGGUUGUAAACUGCUUUUGUACAGAACGAAAAGGUUUCUACUAAUACUAGGAGCUCAUGACGGUACUGUAAGAAUAAGCACCGGCUAACUACGUGCCAGCCGCCGCCGUAA